CUGGUGGCUCAAUCGGAUAGAGCGUUGGACUUCUAAUCCAAAGGUUGCGGGUUCAAGUCCCGCCCAGA
rnacentral:tRNA from 1 species